CCAGGUCUUUUUGCUUCUUCUUAUGUCAGGCACGCCUGUGACCUGGUCGGGUGUCUUCUAUUCACCGUCUAUCAUCUGAUGUCAGGGGUAGGGGUGGGGGGUGGAGCCAGGUGCCAGCGUCAGGCGCGUGUCUGUCCGCCCACGUGGCCUCGUGGGUGAGCCCUCUGGAGGAGAGCAGAGAAGUGCUUUCUCCACGCGUGGCACCGCCGUGGGCAUCGAGGGCGACUUUCCCUUCGCCCAAGGACUGGGCAAAAGCCAAAGGUGCCGCCUCCGGGGCGCCACUGCCAGUUAAAAAUUAAACAACAAAAUGAAACUCAGACCGCGUGAGAUCACCGUUGUUACAAAGCAAUCAAUCACCGGGUUUCUCCUGCCCCCACAGAGCUGAAUCACGUUUGCUUCCGGUCAAGGUGGUCAAAGUCCCUCGCAAGCGGUCACCCAAGUCCGUGCUCGGCGCUGGGGCCGGCUCUUCGGCGUCCUUCUGCCUGGGGUUCCUGGCUCAGCCGAACAUUUUCUGAACAUUCACGGACCGGCCGUCACCCCUUCCUGCCGAGUCGGGGGACCCGAGACUCGGCGAAUGAUCGACGCGAUGCAGAGCGCGUUCCACCAGAGCGGCUUUUCCGGGGCGGCCUCCCUCGCUCCCCCGGAGCUCAGUGCAGGCCCUCUGCAGGCGUCGGGGUACAGGGCGCACAGCGGGGGGAGGCCCUGCCCUCGGGAGCUGACUUUAUGAGAACGUCCCAAGGGGCGACAGCGAGCACCGAAACAGGCCGGCAGGAGCGAGGAUGACCGCGGAGCGCCCCUCGCCCACGGGCCUCGGGGGUCAGCCCGGAGCCUGAGACGGAACCUCCAGUCCCACCCGCUCGGGGCGGGUCACGCGUCUGCACGACCCCUCCGCCGGCUCGUCUCCGGUUCUGAAUCCUUACUCCCAGGCCCUGCCAACGGCCCGCACACAGGCGAGACACGAAAACCGACGAAACAAAAAGGUAGACCCUCUUCCAGUCCCCCAGCUCCGAGUUUUGACCCAAAAAGCAAAACCUUCCCGAAGCGGCACAGGCUGCCCCAGCGGCAGAAGACGCCCAGCUGAAAGGCCAGGCCUCCCCCCUGCGCGCUCUCCGUCCGUCCGGGAGCGGCACCACCACCGGGCACGGGGCACCCGGCCGGGCCCAGGCGGCCGCGCGAGUGGGCAGCUCCAAAGAGGCCGCUCUGAAAGCGAAGGCGUAACGCGGGGGCCCUGCACUGUCUGCGGGACCGAGUGGGCGAGCCCGCACGCUGCCCGGGGGGCGCCAGGCCGCGGGGCUCCCAGCCUGCAGAGCCCCGUCCCGAGACACGCGGGGGCAGCGCGGGGAGACACACGGCGGGCUCUCCACGGCCUCCCUCUCCUGCCACUGAAAGGAGAAGCAGCUCCAGGCUCGCUAAGCCUAAACACUUGGGUGUGAACGUUCGCCACGUGUCGGUGGUGUGACAGACCAUCCCGGCUCCCCGGGAUGAGUCAGGUUGCUGAGUCAUUUCUCACACAGCACCACGCCUGGUUGCCCGGUGUUCGCCAGAGCUGCUCCUGCGGGGGAGGAGAUGAGGCCGGAGCGAGGGGCGGGAGGACAGACAGGAGCAUUCAGCGGAAAAACGGAGGCAGAACGUCACCCCCGUCAAA